rnacentral:rRNA from 1 species
UGGGGAAUUUUGGACAAUGGGCGCAAGCCUGAUCCAGCAAUGCCGCGUGCAGGAUGAAGGCCUUCGGGUUGUAAACUGCUUUUGUACGGAACGAAACGGCUCUGUCUAAUACAUGGGGCUAAUGACGGUACCGUAAGAAUAAGCACCGGCUAACUACGUGCCAGCAGCCGCGGUAAUACGUAGGGUGCAAGCGUUAAUCGGAAUUACUGGGCGUAAAGCGUGCGCAGGCGGUGAUGUAAGACAGGUGUGAAAUCCCCGGGCUUAACCUGGGAAUUGCAUUUGUGACUGCAUCGCUGGAGUGCGGCAGAGGGGGAUGGAAUUCCGCGUGUAGCAGUGAAAUGCGUAGAUAUGCGGAGGAACACCGAUGGCGAAGGCGGGUUACUACUUGUGGAUUGACGCUGAUGGACGAAAGCGUGGGGAGCGAACA